rnacentral:rRNA from 1 species
GACGAACGCUGGCGGCGUGCUUAACACAUGCAAGUCGAACGGAAAGGCCAUGCUUUUGUGGGGUGCUCGAGUGGCGAACGGGUGAGUAACACGUGAGUAACCUGCCCUUGACUUUGGGAUAACUUCAGGAAACUGGGGCUAAUACCGGAUAGGAGCUCCUGCUGCGUGGUGGGGGUUGGAAAGUUUCGGCGGUUGGGGAUGGACUCGCGGCUUAUCAGCUUGUUGGUGGGGUAGUGGCUUACCAAGGCUUUGACGGGUAGCCGGCCUGAGAGGGUGACCGGCCACAUUGGGACUGAGAUACGGCCCAGACUCCUACGGGAGGCAGCAGUGGGGAAUAUUGCACAAUGGGCGGAAGCCUGAUGCAGCAACGCCGCGUGCGGGAUGACGGCCUUCGGGUUGUAAACCGCUUUCGCCUGUGACGAAGCGUGAGUGACGGUAAUGGGUAAAGAAGCACCGGCUAACUACGUG